rnacentral:rRNA from 1 species
CAUCGUCAUGACAUCUGUACGGUGAGUGUGCGGCUUAGCUCAAAUUGCUUAUCCGGCACCUUCCGCGGCCGAGUUGGCAUUCCCAGAAGGUUUCUUUUCCUCCGCUUAUUGAUAUGCAUGUUGGAAUACAGCGGCAUAGUGGUGAGACCCCCGUAUAUGGUGCGGACGCCCAGCGCUUUGUGAUACAUUUUCGAAGAGUCGAGUUGUUUGGGAAUGCAGCUCAAAUUGGGUGGUAAAUUCCAUCUAAAGCUAAAUAUUGGCGAGAGACCGAUAGCGAACAAGUACCGUGAGGGAAAGAUGAAAAGCACUUUGGAAAGAGAGUUAACAGUACGUGAAAUUGUUGGAAGGGAAACGCUUGAAGUCAGACUUGCUUGCCGAGCAAUCGGUUUGCAGGCCAGCAUCAGUUUUCCGGGAUGGAUAAUGGUAGAGAGAAGGUAGCAGUUUCGGCUGUGUUAUAGCUCUCUGCUGGAUACAUCUUGGGGGACUGAGGAACGCAGUGUGCCUUUUGGCGGGGGUUUCGACCUCUUCACACUUAGGAUGCUGGUGGAAUGGCUUUAAACGACCCGUCUUGAAACACAGACCCAAA